GGGCCCGCACAAGCGGCGGAGCAUGUGGCUUAAUUCGACGCAACGCGAAGAACCUUACCAAGGCUUGACAUACAGGGAAAUCUCCCAGAGAUGGGAGGUCCGCAAGGGCUCUGUACAGGUGGUGCA
rnacentral:rRNA from 1 species